GGGUUCCUCGGGACGCAGCAGUGAGGAAUAUUGGUCAAUGGGCGCGAGCCUGAACCAGCCAAGUCGCGUGAGGGAUGACGGUCCUACGGAUUGUAAACCUCUUUUGCCGGGGAGCAAGCGUGCGUUCGUGAACGCGCGUCGAGAGUACCCGGAGAAAAAGCAUCGGCUAACUCCGUGCCAGCAGCCGCGGUAAUACGGAGGAUGCGAGCGUUAUCCGGAUUUAUUGGGUUUAAAGGGUGCGUAGGCGGGAUGCCAAGUCAGCGGUAAAAAUGCGGUGCUCAACG
rnacentral:rRNA from 1 species